rnacentral:SRP_RNA from 1 species
UGGCGAGUCUAGGCGGGCAGCUAGGGGUUGCCUGAGAGAGGGUUUCCUCUCGACCGCAAAUCCUCUUUAGGGCGGGCCGAAAGCUGAUGUGAGGCACGUCCAACCCGCUAAAACGGUCUGUCACCAAGGCGGUGAAGAUCCGCACUGGAGGAUCGGCGGUGGGUGACUGCUUUCCGUAGGGAAAGCGUGUUCACCCUUUGCCAGGGAAACCGGUUAGGCCCGGGAGAGUGUUGGGUUAGUCGGCCCGAUGCCUUGAAGGAGCAGCCUAACUCUGGACGUUCGAUGCUUCCAGAAUCCCGGGUCAGAGACCAGGUGGCAGAUACGCUGGCGGGGAGGUGUGUCGAGCAUCAGGACUCGCCA